GACGAACGCUGGCGGCGUGCUUAACACAUGCAAGUCGAACGGAAAGGCCCUGCUUGCAGGGUACUCGAGUGGCGAACGGGUGAGUAACACGUGGGUGAUCUGCCCUGCACUUCGGGAUAAGCCUGGGAAACUGGGUCUAAUACCGGAUAGGAGCCAUUUUUAGUGUGAUGGUUGGAAAGUUUUUUCGGUGUAGGAUGAGCUCGCGGCCUAUCAGCUUGUUGGUGGGGUAAUGGCCUACCAAGGCGGCGACGGGUAGCCGGCCUGAGAGGGUGGACGGCCACAUUGGGACUGAGAUACGGCCCAGACUCCUACGGGAGGCAGCAGUGGGGAAUAUUGCACAAUGGGCGCAAGCCUGAUGCAGCGACGCCGCGUGGGGGAUGACGGCCUUCGGGUAGUAAACUCCUUUCGCUAGGGACGAAGCUUUUUGUGACGGUACCUAGAUAAGAAGCACCGGCUAACUACGUG
rnacentral:rRNA from 1 species